rnacentral:rRNA from 1 species
GACGAACGCUGGCGGCGUGCUUAACACAUGCGAGUCGAACGGAAAGGCCCUGCUUUUGUGGGGUGCUCGAGUGGCGAACGGGUGAGUAACACGUGAGUAACCUGCCCUUGACUUUGGGAUAACUUCAGGAAACUGGGGCUAAUACCGGAUAGGAGCUCCUGCUGCAUGGUGGGGGUUGGAAAGUUUCGGCGGUUGGGGAUGGACUCGCGGCUUAUCAGCUUGUUGGUGGGGUAGUGGCUUACCAAGGCUUUGACGGGUAGCCGGCCUGAGAGGGUGACCGGCCACAUUGGGACUGAGAUACGGACCAGACUCCUACGGGAGGCAGCAGUGGGGAAUAUUGCACAAUGGGCGGAAGCCUGAUGCAGCAACGCCGCGUGCGGGAUGACGGCCUUCGGGUUGUAAACCGCUUUCGCCUGUGACGAAGCGUGAGUGACGGUAAUGGGUAAAGAAGCACCGGCUAACUACGUG